CCUACGGGAGGCAGCAGUGAGGAAUAUUGGUCAAUGGACGAGAGUCUGAACCAGCCAAGUCGCGUGAAGGAUGACUGCCCUAUGGGUUGUAAACUUCUUUUAUAUGGGAAUAAAAUGUUCCACGUGUGGGAUUUUGUAUGUACCCUAUGAAUAAGGAUCGGCUAACUCCGUGCCAGCAGCCGCGGUAAUACGGAGGAUCCGAGCGUUAUCCGGAUUUAUUGGGUUUAAAGGGAGCGUAGGUGGAUUGUUAAGUCAGUUGUGAAAGUUUGCGGCUCAACCGUGGAAUUGCAGUUGAAACUGGCAGUCUUGAGUAGAGUAGAGGUGGGCGGAAUUCGUGGUGUAGCGGUGAAAUGCUUAGAUAUCACGAAGAACUCCGAUUGCGAAGGCAGUUCACUGGACUGCAACUGACGCUGAGGCUCGAAAGUGUGGGUAUCAAACAGGAUUAGAUACCCGAGUAGUC
rnacentral:rRNA from 1 species